rnacentral:rRNA from 1 species
CCUACGGGGGGCAGCAGUGAGGAAUAUUGGUCAAUGGGCGCGAGCCUGAACCAGCCAAGUCGCGUGAGGGAUGAAGGUUCUAUGGAUCGUAAACCUCUUUUAUAAGGGAAUAAAGUGUGGGACGUGUCCUCUUUUGUAUGUACCCUAUGAAUAAGGAUCGGCUAACUCCGUGCCAGCAGCCGCGGUAAUACGGAGGAUCCGAGCGUUAUCCGGAUUUAUUGGGUUUAAAGGGUGCGUAGGCGGCCUUGUUAGUCAGCGGUGAAAGUCUGUGGCUCAACCAUAGAAUUGCCGUUGAAACUGGGAGGCUUGAGUAUGUUUGAGGCAGGCGGAAUGCGUGGUGUAGCGGUGAAAUGCUUAGAUAUCACGAAGAACCCCGAUUGCGAAGGCAGCCUGCCAAGCCAUGACUGACGCUGAUGCACGAAAGCGUGGGGAUCAAACAGGAUUAGAUACCCCAGUAGUC